rnacentral:lncRNA from 1 species
CAAGGAUUAUCCCAUCUGUUCCAGAGCAUCAUCCUAGGAUCUCAUUAAGUGGUAUCAGAGCAAUUCUGGAAGGGAAGUGUUUUGAUUUCUAUCUGUUGUCGAUUUGAUCUCUUCAUAUUCUGUUGUGAUUUUGAUCGAUCUGUGUUUCUAUUGUUGAAAUCUGAUAAAUCUGAGUGUUUUGAUCAUAAAUCUGUUGAAGUCUUUUCAUAUACUCUUUGAUUUCGUGUUGAUCUAUAUUUCUUGUGAAGAA